CUCAGGAUGAACGCUAGCGGGGGGCCUAACACAUGCAAGCGAGCGGUAGAGAUUCUUCGGAAUCUUGAGAGCGGCGUACGGGUGCGGAACACGUGUGCAACUACCUUUAUCUGGAGGAUAGCCUUUCGAAAGGAAGAUUAAUACUCCAUAAUAUAUUGAUUGGCAUCAAUUGAUAUUGAAAGCUCCGGCGGAUAGAGAUGGGCACGCGCAAGAUUAGUUAGUUGGUGAGGUAACGGCUCACCAAGACGAUGAUCUUUAGGGGCCUGAGAGGGUGAUCCCCCACACUGGUACUGAGACACGGACCAGACUCCUACGGGAGGCAGCAGUGAGGAAUAUUGGUCAAUGGGUGCAAGCCUGAACCAGCCAUCCCGCGUGAAGGACGACUGCCCUAUGGGUUGUAAACUUCUUUUGUAUAGGGAUAAACCUACCCUCGUGAGGGUAGCUGAAGGUACUAUACGAAUAAGCACCGGCUAACUCCGUG
rnacentral:rRNA from 1 species